rnacentral:rRNA from 1 species
UAAACCUAGAUGUUUAUAAUACAAAAACAUCCGCCAGAAAACUACGAGCAAAACGCUUAAAACUCCAAGGACUUGGCGGUACCUCAAACCCCCCUAGAGGAGCCUGUUCUAUAAUCGAUAAUCCACGUUAAACCUUACCAUCCUUUGCCAACCCAGCCUAUAUACCACCGUCACAGCCUACCUUAUGAAAGACAAAAAGUAAGCUCAACAACUCCAACAGCUAAAAAGUCAGGUCAAGGUGUAGCCAACUAAGAUGGAAGAAAUGGGCUACAUUUUCUACCAUAGAAAUAACCACAGAACAGAAACAUGAAACAUGAUCUGAAUAAAGAAGGAUUUAGUAGUAAAUUAAGAACAGAGAGCUUAAUUUAAAACGGACCUGAGGUGCGC